rnacentral:lncRNA from 1 species
CUGUGGGUGUCCAGAACAAACUUGGAAACAUUGCUGAAGAUGGUGGGUCCCCUGUUAGCCUAGGUUCUGCAUAACUCUGUGGUUUGGAACCUGCUGUUGAUGAUAGUCAGAAAUAUCCAUUUGGGAUUUACGUAAAUGAGGAUCAAACUUGUUUCAUAUGAAGCCAUGGAAAUGUUGAGAUUUAUUCAUUACAACAGUCACAGUUACUCUUUCUAAAUGGAGAAACCUUCCGAGUAGAUUAAGGGAGACAGGUGGCCACCGAGCACCCAGAUUCUAAAGCAAGUCCUGAGUGACCUACAAAGAG